rnacentral:rRNA from 1 species
UACAGAGGGUGCAAGCGUUAAUCGGAAUUACUGGGCGUAAAGCGUGCGUAGACGGUUGCGUAAGUCAGAUGUGAAAGCUCGGAGCUCAACUCCGAAAUGGCAUUGGAAACUACCUUGCUAGAGGGUCGGAGGGGGGACUGGAAUUCUUGGUGUAGCAGUGAAAUGCGUAGAUAUCAAGAGGAACACCAGUGGCGAAGGCGAGUCCCUGGACGACUCCUGACACUGAGGCACGAAAGCUAGGGGAGCAAACAGG